rnacentral:rRNA from 1 species
AGUGAACGCUGGCGGUAGGCCUAACACAUGCAAGUCGAACGGCAGCACAGUAAGAGCUUGCUCUUACGGGUGGCGAGUGGCGGACGGGUGAGGAAUACAUCGGAAUCUACUUUUUCGUGGGGGAUAACGUAGGGAAACUUACGCUAAUACCGCAUACGACCUACGGCUGAAAGCAGGGGAUCUUCGGACCCUGCGCGAUUGAAUGAGCCGAUGUCGGAUUAGCUAGUUGGCGGGGUAAAGGCCCACCAAGGCGACGAUCCGUAGCUGGUCUGAGAGGAUGAUCAGCCACACUGGAACUGAGACACGGUCCAGACUCCUACGGGAGGCAGCAGUAGGGAAUAUUGGACAAUGGGCGCAAGCCUGAUCCAGCCAUACCGCGUGAGUGAAGAAGGCCUUCGGGUUGUAAAGCCCUUUUAUUGGGAAAGAAAAGCAGCAGGUUAAUACCCCGCUGUUCUGACGGUACCCAAAGAAUAAGCACCGGCUAACUUCGUG